rnacentral:rRNA from 1 species
AUUCUCCCAAAUCAUCCUCCUGAACGUGCCAGAUCUUGUCUGAUCUCAGAAGCUAAGCAUGGUUGGGCCUGGUUAGUACUUGGAUGGGAUACUU